rnacentral:rRNA from 1 species
AUUGAACGCUGGCGGCAGGCUUAACACAUGCAAGUCGAGCGGUAACAGAGAGAAGCUUGCUUCUCUGCUGACGAGCGGCGGACGGGUGAGUAAUGCCUAGGAAUCUGCCUAGUAGUGGGGGAUAACUUGCCGAAAGGUAAGCUAAUACCGCAUACGUCCUACGGGAGAAAGGAGGGGACCUUCGGGCCUUUCGCUAUUAGAUGAGCCUAGGUCGGAUUAGUUAGGUGGUGAGGUAAGGGCUCACCAAGACUGCGAUCCGUACCUGGUCUGAGAGGAUGAGCAGUCACACUGGAACUUGUACCCGGUCAGGACUCCUACGGGAGGCAGCAGGGGGGAAUAUUGUACAAUGGGGGGAACCCUGAUUCAGCCAUGCCGCGUGUGUGAAGAAGGUCUUAGGAUUGUAAAGCACUUUAAGUUGGGAGGAAGAGCAGUUAACUAAUAUUUGACUGUUUUGACGUUACCGACAGAAUAAGCACCGGCUAACUUCGUGCCAGCAGCCGCCGUAA